UACGUAGGGGGCUAGCGUUGUCCGGAAUCAUUGGGCGUAAAGCGCGUGUAGGCGGUCCGGUAAGUCCGCUGUGAAAGUCGGGGGCUCAACCCUCGGAUGCCGGUGGAGUACUGUCGGGCUUGAGUACGGAAGAGGCGAGUGGAAUUCCUGGUGUAGCGGUGAAAUGCGCAGAUAUCAGGAGGAACACCGGUGGCGAAGGCGGGUCUCGUGGGCCGAUGACUGACGCUGAGGAGCGAAAGCGUGGGGAGCGAACAGG
rnacentral:rRNA from 1 species